rnacentral:rRNA from 1 species
UACGUAGGGUGCAAGCGUUAAUCGGAAUUACUGGGCGUAAAGCGCGCGUAGGCGGACCUGCAAGUCGGGGGUGAAAGCCCGGGGCUCAACCCCGGAAUGUCUUUUGAAACUGCCGAGCUAGAGUGCGGAAGAGGCAACUGGAAUUCCCAGUGUAGCGGUGAAAUGCGUAGAUAUUGGGAAGAACACCUGAGGCGAAGGCGGGUUGCUGGGCCGACACUGACGCUGAUGCGCGAAAGCCAGGGGAGCGAACGGG